rnacentral:lncRNA from 1 species
GGCGGCUCCUCCCGGCCUCCAGCACUGGGCACCUGCCCUGGCGGCUCUGGCUCCUGGGCUCAGGGCUGCUGAUCUCAGGCCAUGGCCUCUGCCCAGCGCCCUCACCCUGACAGGGAGCCCCAGAGGCGUCCAGAGGCCUCGAGGUGUGACGUCCCCAAGGGAGUCGAGCAGCCAGGCCAGCACUGGACACCGGGCUGGGCGGACAAGGCAGAGUUGGACAGUGCUGCCAGGGGUACCUGGCCACAGAGGGAAGAUGGGCUCCGUCUGCCUGUGGCCGAGGACUGUGCUGUGGCCCUGCUGCAGUGGCCUGGGCCGGCCCGGCAGCCAGGUGCUCUCGGGACACCUCCCUUGGCCUGGUCGGAUGAUGGCGACGCCUUCUGGUCCACUGAGCAGGAGGCCAGGGACGGGGCCAGCUCAGUGUCCUCCGGCUGCCUGUCUGGCUCCUUGGGGGGCCACGUGUCUUGUGCUCCUCCCUAUGGGCCCUGGAAGGAGAGGCCACCCCGGGUGCCACGGCCACAGCGGUGGUGGCCCAGAAAGAGUGACCCGCGGCUGGAGCGGCUGAGGGACCGGAUCCGCCAGCAGGCGCGGGGGUCGGCCAGCUGCACCUCCCUGAGCACCUCAGCCUCCUCCAGCGCCUCGCACCUCUGUUCCACCUCCACACUGGCGGCCCCGAGGAUUCGCAGGGUGACAGCUGCCCUUCCAGCCUCUGCACACCCAGGUGUUGGCAUCCGCGUGCCUGAGACCCAAGGGGAAGACCAGGCAUCCCCAGGUGCGGGCCGGGUGCUGUCCUGGGCCACCCAGCACCAGGCUCCAGCUCCCCAGGACAAAGCCAGGCGGACCAGGAGCCAAUCUUGCAGAAGGGCCAAGGCCCCCAGGUCACCCUCGCCCAGCACAGCUGCCAAAGGCAAAGAUCUCGAGUCUGUUGGUGUCCGCGCCUGGAGGAGAGGACAACAGCUGGCCAGGUUGCUGCUGGGGCCGCCUCCUGCCCGGCCCUCACUCUGGAGCACUGGCCCCCGGAGAGACCUCGGCCCCGCCAUGCGAUUAGGGGACAUCAAGAAGGCUGCAGCAGCCGAGGGCUCCUCGGCUCACACCUGGCCACACAGGCCCACCUCGGCCACCAGUGACCGGCAGGUGUCCGAGAACACAGCCAGCCUGGCUUCCCACUGCCAGCGGGCAUCCAUCCAGAGCGCCAUGGCCACCCUAGGAGACCUCGGCUGCCAAAUGCAGGCUGGGCUGGAGCUGGCCCAGGGCCCCGGGGAUGGGCGGAAGCACAGGCCAUCAAAGCUGAAGCCAAAGAACCUGGGCCCGCAGGGUCCCCGGAGCACACGGCACAGGCAGGGCGGCUUCCGAAAGAGCUCUUGGAUCAUGACGGAGGGGACACGCUCCACCUCAGACAGGCCCAGCCUCUCCCAUCCCCAGCAGCCCGGGAGGACCUCGGCGGAGUGGCAGCCCUGUCCUCAGAGGGCCUGCGCAGCCAGAGGAUGGGACCUCUGCUUCCGGAGACCUCCGCGCCCCCCUGAGGAGCUGAGCCCCUCUUCUCAGCGGCCCUGGAGUGCCCUGACCCGUCAGGGCUGUCCUCAGCAGGCCUGGGUGGAUGGAGAAGACUGGGAAGUCCCUGUCCCCAGACCAUGGCGCUCUCUGGAAAGACCUCCCCCUGAGCCUCGGCGCCCCUGGAGUGGGUCCUUCCUGGAUAGGGCCGGACCCCCCUGCAAGGCCAAAGGCACCACCACCCCUCCCUCAGAAGCCAAGCAGGCCUGGCCGGGGAGCUCGCCAGGGAAGGGCCUUGAGGCACAGCCGUGCCCACCCCACCUGCAGCCCCGGGGGCCCCUGGGCCGGCUCCACAGCUCCAAGGCCCUGCGCGACUUCAUGCACCAGAAGGCACAGGUGCGACGGCAGCAGGUCCUGCAGCAGGCAGUUGCGGCCAUGGAUGCGCUGGAGCGGAGAAGCCAGCAGCUGCAGGAGGUCUACCGGAAGCAGAGGGAGGCUGUGCAGGGCCAGGCGGUCCCUGUGGUCUCCCAGACCAGCCCUGGCAUCGUCACCUUUGUCCCCAGCUCCACACAGUCAGGGGUCCCGAAAGCCCCUGGGAGCCUGGAGCUCCCCGAGCUGGGGUGGAGCAAGGUGACUUCGGGGAAGGUGCUGGGGGACCAGGAGGUCCCGGGCAGUUUCUGUCUGUGUCUGAAUAGAACCUGGAACCACCCGGAAACGCCCCUGCCCGUGUCUGCCACCUCCUUGCCGGGCUCCCUGUGGCUCCAGGACCAGGCCCGGGGGCUGCAUGUCUGCCUGGACCCUCAGGCAGCUGAGCGGCUGGGGCUGUCGGGCCCCCUGCAGCCACGGCACAAGCAGGCCCGGCUGCAGGCUCUGGAGACCAUGGCCGACGUCCUGCAGCAGCGUGUCGACAUCCUGACUGCCAAGCUGUGUGGAAAUGGGGCCCCCAGCAAUGUGCCCACCGCCCCGGCCUGCCCAGGGCCCUUGGUGCCCAGAGGGGACAGAGGGUCACCUCACGACGACUUCCUGGACGUGGAGGUGCUGCCGUGGAACCUGGAGAGCAGCCCCGAGAGCCAGCACCAAGGUGCCAUGCAGGAGGGACACUGGCAGCUGGGGCAAAGGCUGCAGCGAGACUCGGCUCCCGUCCAGGCCCCUGGUGUCGGCACGGGGAGCACGCUUGGGGCACCCGCUGCCCCGUGCCCCACCUGUGGCUCCCUGAGGCUGGAGGACCUGCUGACCCCCUGGACCCCCCGGAGCUGCUGUAAGGGUCCCCAGGAGCCCAGAGGGCCGCACCCCAGAGGCCGAGGUGGGCACCCUGCUAACUUCCAGCUGAAGUCCUUGAGCUUCCUCCAGUCACUGAAGCUGGACCAGCGGAAGCAGGAGCAGGCUCUGGCUCUCCUGCGGCAGCGAGCGGAGCAGGAGGUCUGGGAGACACAGAUGGCCCUGGAGGGGCUGCUCUUCAAACACCAGCUGCAGAGGCUGACGGAGAAGCACGGGGCCCAAACCAGGCCAGGAAUGGUUUCCAAGCCGGAGCAGCCACAGAUCCAUGUGGGCCCAGAGCCCACAGCACUGGCCCAGAGACCCAUGCUGGCCAGGAGCAGGUCACCCCCAGCCCUGGGGAGAGAGGUCACCGGGUCCUCCCGGGUCCCUGAGGAGGGGCAAGCCAGCGUGGAGGGCAAGUCGGCUUCUGCAGGUGAGUGUCACUUGUCACCUGUGCUGGUAGGUAAGGGAGGAGCUGUCGGGCCCAGUGCUGGCCCACGAUGUGAGCACACUCGCUGCCGACUCUCCUGUCACUCUGUCCACAAAGCACAAGUGGGAUUCCGAGUCCCC